GUGCAAAAAGAUCACAAGUAUUUCUUGUGAUUUGGUCAUGUGAAUAGGAACAGACAGAGCUCAGAGAGACAAGAAAGAAGCAAUGGCCUUUAGAAAAACAGAUCCUAAAGAGCAAAUGCGACAGCAGCAGAAAGUGUUAAAGAAAACAGGACGAGAGCUUGAGAGAGACCGUGGGCAGUUGGAGAGGCAAGAGAAGCAACUGGAAGCUGAGAUAAAGAAAGCU